UCAAUAGACUUUAACCUUUUCUAGAGUAUCAAAAAGCAAAAUAAAUAUAGAAAAAUGAAUUGCUGUACAAAAUAUUUAUUGAAUUAAAGACUAUUUGGUAGGACUAUAUUUUUGCCUUUGCUUCUUUUGUUAUGUUUACGAGUCCCACAUCAAAGGAAAAUUUGAAGUAGACAAUAGAGAGUUGAUAUAAAAACGAAGGCCCAUUGCCAAGCAUAAGCAUACCUUUCUCGGCCUUUUGGCUAAGAUCAAGUGUAGUAUCUGUUCUUAUCAGUUUAAUAUCUGAUAUGUGGGCCAUUGGUCCACACGAUAUUAACUCUAUUUUUUGAGGGGGAAGACUCAUCAAGGUAGCUUGCUGCCUGGGCCUUCAAGCGUCGCCCAAGUGUUGCACUAUGCUUUGGCCUGGCGCACCCCACGAAUACUAGUUUAAUGUUUGAGCAGUAUGUUGUCUUAGUCUAGUAAUCUGUGGAAAUUUCUCACUGUACUUAUUUUAUUUCUGGUGUCCUCUCUUGUUUUUAGAGAUCAGGUUUAAACUACUAAAGCUUGUAUUGAAGAGUCAAAGCUCGUAGGGAAGAGUCAAAGCGAAUUGGACUUUUCUGGCCUUUUUCCUGUCUAUUUGCGUUGCGGGAAUCUUUAAUUGAAAACCCUGUCUUCUGCCCUCGCCACUUCUUUUGCUGACCCUAUCCACCUCCUUUUGGAAUACCAGAAAAAGAGAUGAAUUAGCGGAUCAUAGGGGCCAAGUCGAAGCAUAUGCCUGAACCUUCUUUGGCGGAGAUGGAGUUAAUAGGGAGUUGUGAGAGGAUGUACUUGGCCUAGUGGUCAAUAAAGUUGGUUGAGCAUCAUGACGUCUAGGUUUAAUUUUCAGCUAGACAAAAACAGAAAAUAUGCAUAAUCAUGCUUAACUGAAUUUUGCUUGAAUUCAUAGUCAAGGAGUUCUGAUGUUGAUGCCUGUCUGGUAGAGGAAGUUGUAUCAUCGGUUUUGCAGCGUUAAUUAUGCAGUUUUUGUUGUGCUAUGGAUAAGACGGCGUCUUCCCUAGACAUGGCAACUCUCUCCCUACACUUGUGUGUCCAUUUAGGAUCACCACUGAUAUUUUCUGGACAGCUCUCUUCAUGGAUCCUUGCUCGGGCCAAUAUCUAUUUUAUGGAGUAUCUUUCAACUGUCAUUUCGUCUUGCAGGAAGAAUUUACCGAAUGUUUUGGAGUUUCUAGGAAGGCCAAAUACUUGCACUCUUGUUUCCGGAACAAGUGAGUCAAUUUGCAUGAAAAAUUCAAGAAUGCCGUUGAAGCAUAUCUUCCUGGUACUAUUGAUGAGUUGACUCUAAAAGCUAAGAAAAAGGGCCAGCAGAAUAAACCUUCCUUCUGGGAUUCGGUCACUGAUUCAAAAGCAGGCACUUUCAGAUUUUCUUUUUGAUGAAAGGCCAGUGAUGGAAUCUUCAAUUGUUAGUUCCCAGGCUGUAGACUUUUACCAAUCUUCUGCUCAAACAGAUGAAGCUGCAAGAGUGAAAUUUAAUGUUUGUUUACUUAACAAGAGGGAUUUUAUUGGCAUUUUAUUCAUCAUUGAACUUGUAUUUUUCCCAAGAGGAAACAAAAGUUUAGACAAAUUUUGGCGUCAA